rnacentral:lncRNA from 1 species
CUUUAACAUGGGUCUCCGACCCCCGGCAGGGGCAAAGCUUCCUGCCCCCCAACCCCACCAGCCGCCCCGGCCCAGCUGCUCAGGGCAGGCCGGCACGUCUGGCUGCAGGGCAGCUCCCCGCUCUGGCCUAGGUCACUCUGGCCCCUGCUCACGGCCCCACCAGCCCCUGCUGCAGCUCCUGCAGGAAAGCAGCCCCGGGGCCAGCACCGCUGCCUCCGCCCCGGCGGGAGGGCACCCGCCGGCAGCUGAAGACGCCCGCAGCCCCGCCAGCCCCGCUCACGCCCGCUCUCACCCGCUCCCUCACUCCAGCUUUGCUCCAGCUCCACUUCCACCUCUUCCUGUUUCCCCCGUGCUGGACUACGAUUGGCUGAGAGAGCCAUCAUUCAAAUCCACCUCCAUGUUUCUCUUGCCGGCCAAUAGGAAUGCAGCACUGGGGGCGUUGCCAUGGAAACGUUGCAGCCUCCUGCCCUGGCGCCCAGCUCUGCCCCCUGCCCCUGCGGUCGGCGCCAACUUGUGGGCGGCAUCGCGGGGUAUCGCGAGGUGUCGUGGAGCCUCGGGGAAGCGUGGCCCCGUGUGCCCGGGCACUGCGGGGGCCCGGGGCACGGCUGCUCCCCCGCUGGGGUUGGGCUCUGCCGCGGGGGCCCCGCAGGGCUCCUGGCUGCCCUGUGCUAGGGGGCAGUGGGGGGCACGAGGGAGCAGCCCUGGGGCCUGUGCUGGUGCCGGACCUGGUGCUGGUGCAGGGGCCCUGGGCAUGGCCAUGGGUGCUGGAGCCUGCAGGCAGUGUCCUGCUGCCCCCAGGGCACGGCAGGGCCCUGUUGCCCCUGGGGCCCCAGCCCCCUGCCUGCAGCACCAAUGGGGCUCAGCAGCCCUUGCGCUGCGUCCGGCAGGGCUGGGCAACGGCCAGGCAGGGGCUGCUCUCUGUGGGGCCAGGCUGUACCCCAGCGCCUUGCUCCGCAGGGCUGAGGAGCCCCGGGGACACGGGGCAGCCAGGGGCAGAGCAGCUCUGGGCCUGCCGGUGCUGAGCAGCAGAGGUGCGUGUCCGGGAGGGGUCUGGGGGAGAUGGCCCUGCUGGACUGCCCCCAGCACUGCCCCCCACRGCUCAGAGAAAAAUGCUUGGGGUCAGCAGGGACUUGUGGGGUGGCCAUGGCACCCCCACCUGUUCCCAAGCUGCUCCCCCAAACAAGCUGUCUUUUGGGUGCAGAGGUCUGACCCCCAUGUGCAGGAGGACAGGGUC